rnacentral:rRNA from 1 species
AGAGUUUGAUCAUGGCUCAGAUUGAACGCUGGCGGCAGGCCUAACACAUGCAAGUCGAACGGUAACAGGAAACAGCUUGCUGUUUCGCUGACGAGUGGCGGACGGGUGAGUAAUGUCUGGGAAACUGCCUGAUGGAGGGGGAGUAACUACUGGAAACGGUAGCUAAUACCGCAUAACGUCGCAAGACCAAAGAGGGGGACCUUCGGGCCUCUUGCCAUCAGAUGUGCCCAGAUGGGAUUAGCUAGUAGGUGGGGUAACGGCUCACCUAGGCGACGAUCCCUAGCUGGUCUGAGAGGAUGACCAGCCACACUGGAACUGAGACACGGUCCAGACUCCUACGGGAGGCAGCAGUGGGGAAUAUUGCACAAUGGGCGCAAGCCUGAUGCAGCCAUGCCGCGUGUAUGAAGAAGGCCUUCGGGUUGUAAAGUACUUUCAGCGGGGAGGAAGGGAGUAAAGUUAAUACCUUUGCUCAUUGACGUUACCCGCAGAAGAAGCACCGGCUAACUCCGUGCCAGCAGCCGCGGUAAUACGGAGGGUGCAAGCGUUAAUCGGAAUUACUGGGCGUAAAGCGCACGCAGGCGGUUUGUUAAGUCAGAUGUGAAAUCCCCGGGCUCAACCUGGGAACUGCAUCUGAUACUGGCAAGCUUGAGUCUCGUAGAGGGGGGUAGAAUUCCAGGUGUAGCGGUGAAAUGCGUAGAGAUCUGGAGGAAUACCGGUGGCGAAGGCGGCCCCCUGGACGAAGACUGACGCUCAGGUGCGAAAGCGUGGGGAGCAAACAGGAUUAGAUACCCUGGUAGUCCACGCCGUAAACGAUGUCGACUUGGAGGUUGUGCCCUUGAGGCGUGGCUUCCGGAGCUAACGCGUUAAGUCGACCGCCUGGGGAGUACGGCCGCAAGGUUAAAACUCAAAUGAAUUGACGGGGGCCCGCACAAGCGGUGGAGCAUGUGGUUUAAUUCGAUGCAACGCGAAGAACCUUACCUGGUCUUGACAUCCACGGAAGUUUUCAGAGAUGAGAAUGUGCCUUCGGGAACCGUGAGACAGGUGCUGCAUGGCUGUCGUCAGCUCGUGUUGUGAAAUGUUGGGUUAAGUCCCGCAACGAGCGCAACCCUUAUCCUUUGUUGCCAGCGGUCCGGCCGGGAACUCAAAGGAGACUGCCAGUGAUAAACUGGAGGAAGGUGGGAAUGACGUCAAGUCAUCAUGGCCCUUACGACCAGGGCUACACACGUGCUACAAUGGCGCAUACAAAGAGAAGCGACCUCGCGAGAGCAAGCGGACCUCAUAAAGUGCGUCGUAGUCCGGAUUGGAGUCUGCAACUCGACUCCAUGAAGUCGGAAUCGCUAGUAAUCGUGGAUCAGAAUGCCACGGUGAAUACGUUCCCGGGCCUUGUACACACCGCCCGUCACACCAUGGGAGUGGGUUGCAAAAGAAGUAGGUAGCUUAACCUUCGGGAGGGCGCUUACCACUUUGUGAUUCAUGACUGGGGUGAAGUCGUAACAAGGUAACCGUAGGGGAACCUGCGGUUGGAUCACCU